AGUGAACGCUGGCGGUAGGCCUAACACAUGCAAGUCGAACGGCAGCACAGUAAGAGCUUGCUCUUACGGGUGGCGAGUGGCGGACGGGUGAGGAAUACUUCGGAAUCUACUUUUUCGUGGGUGAUAACGUAGGGACACUUACGCUAAUACCGCAUACGACCUACGGGUGAAAGCAGGGGAUCUUCGGACCUUGCGCGAUUGAAUGAGCCGAUGUCGGAUUAGCUAGUUGGCGGGGUAAAGGCCCACCAAGGCGACGAUCCGUAGCUGGUCUGAGAGGAUGAUCAGCCACACUGGAACUGAGACACGGUCCAGACUCCUACGGGAGGCAGCAGUGGGGAAUAUUGGACAAUGGGCGAAAGCCUGAUCCAGCCAUACCGCGUGGGUGAAGAAGGCCUUCGGGUUGUAAAGCACUUUUGUUGGGAAAGAAAAGCAGCAGGUUAAUACCCCGCUGUUCUGACGUUACCCAAAGAAUAAGCACCGGCUAACUUCGUG
rnacentral:rRNA from 1 species